rnacentral:rRNA from 1 species
AAGGUUAAUCCGAGUGAUUUCUGCUAAAGGAAUCUUUUGUUAGUUCUAAAAAUACUAGUGAAUAAGGGGUGGGCAAGUUCUGGUGUCAGCCGCCGCGGUAAAACCAGCACCUCAAGUGGUCAGGAGGAUUAUUGGGCCUAAAGCAUCCGUAGCCUGUUCUAUAAGUUUGCGGUUAAAUCUAUACGCUCAACGUAUAGGCUGCCGUAAAUACUGUAGAACUAGGGAGUGGGAGAGGUAGACGGUACUCGAUAGGAAGGGGUAAAAUCCUUUGAUCUAUUGAUGACCACCUGUGGCGAAGGCGGUCUACCAGAACACGUUCGACGGUGAGGGAUGAAAGCUGGGGGAGCAAACCGGAUUAGAUACCCGGGUAGUCCCAGCUGUAAACGAUGCAGACUCGAUGAUGCAAUGGCAUAGAGCUAUUGCAGUAUCGCAGGGAAGCCGUUAAGUCUGCCGCCUGGGAAGUACGUACGCAAGUAUGAAACUUAAAGGAAUUGGCGGGGGAGCACCACAAGGGGUGAAGCCUGCGGUUCAAUUGGAGUCAACGCCAGAAAUCUUACCCGGAGAGACAGCAGAAUGAAGGUCAGCGAGCU